UACGGGGGGAGCAAGCGUUGUUCGGAUUUACUGGGCGUAAAGGGCGCGUAGGCGGCCUCCGCAAGUCAGUUGUGAAAUCUCCGAGCUUAACUCGGAAAGGUCAACUGAUACUGCGGGGCUAGAGUGCGGAAGGGGCAACUGGAAUUCUUGGUGUAGCGGUGAAAUGCGUAGAUAUCAGGAGGAACACCGGCGGCGAAAGCGCGAUACUGGGCCAUAACUGACGCUGAGGAACGAAAGCCAGGGGAGCGAAAGGG
rnacentral:rRNA from 1 species